rnacentral:rRNA from 1 species
UACGUAGGUGGCAAGCGUUGUCCGGAAUUAUUGGGCGUAAAGGGAGCGCAGGUGGGAAUGUAAGUCAGUCUUAAAAGUGCGGGGCUCAACCCCGUGAGGGGAUUGAAACUACAUUUCUUGAGUGCAGGAGAGGAAAGUGGAAUUCCUAGUGUAGCGGUGAAAUGCGUAGAGAUUAGGAGGAACACCAGUGGCGAAGGCGACUUUCUGGACUGUAACUGACACUGAGGCUCGAAAGCCAGGGGAGCGAACGGGAUUAGAUACCCGCGUAGUCC